UGAGUGCCUUCUCUUCGGAGUUGGCCAUCCAUACACACCGUGAACUGUGGCUUCGGCCAUCACAAACUGUUAGUAAUGAAUGUAAUAUCAUAACAAAAACAAAACUUUUAACAACGGAUCUCUUGGCUCUCGCAUCGAUGAAGAACGCAGCGAAAUGCGAUAAGUAAUGUGAAUUGCAGAAUUCAGUGAAUCAUCGAAUCUUUGAACGCACCUUGCGCCCUUUGGUAUUCCGAAGGGCAUGCCUGUUUGAGUGUCAUGAAACCUCACCCCACUUGGGUUUUUGCCUGAGCGGUGGUGUAUUGGGUGUUGCCUUGCCAAAGGCUCGCCUUAAAAACAUAAGCACCUUGGAUGUAAUACGUUUCAUCCUUCUGGGUGGCUGAUAACCCCACAUAUUCAUGAUCUGGCCUCAAAUCAGGUAGGGCUACCCGCUGAACUUAAGCAUAUCAAUAAGCGGAGGAAAAGAAACUAACUAGGAUUCCCUUAGUAACGGCGAGUGAACCGGGAUGAGCUCAAAUUUGAAAUCUGGCGUCUUUCAGGCGUCCGAGUUGUAAUCUAUAGAGGCGUUUUCCGCGCCGGACCGCGUCCAAGUCUCUUGGAAUAGAGUAUC
rnacentral:rRNA from 1 species